GGGCAGAAACGUGGGUAGAAAAGAGAAGCGUUGUGAAGAGGUGAAAUGUGAUGUGAAGGCCGCGUGGUGCUGUACACACUAGUGAAGCACAGUAAUUCACAGAGGAAAUCUAAAACAAGCCGAAGCUCCCUGCGUGCACAUGUAUGUAGAACAGAAUGUAAGUGUUGUAGCUGUGUGUGUCUGUGUGUGUGUGUGUGUGUGUGUGUGUGUGUCGUGACGUUUCUGUCCGGAGCCGUGCCAUGCUUCAUUAGCUCUAAUCUCGCUGGGAGUCAGGUUGCUGUGUCGACGGCGUGUCUGUAUGGAAGGCAUGCAGGCUGCAGAUCACAGGGAUUGACCCUCCGCCUCUCAGGUUAACAGAAGCCCUGUGUGUGUGUGUGUGUGUGUGUGUGAGUGUGUGUGUGUGAGUGUGUUUAUGUGUGUAUGUGUGUGAGAUCUGAAAACCGUGUCGUGGUGAAACUUGCUGAACUUGGACUUCACGUUCUUGUACUGUGAGAGGAAGAGAUGUACAAAUCUAAGAGUGUGUGUGUGUGUGUUUGUGUGCGUGUGCAUGAAAAGGAAAUGAGAGGAUACCGAUAAGAGAGAGUGUGUGGGUGGGUGGGUGUGUGUGUGUCUUUUUGCAGGAGGUCUAGUUGAACUUUGGCUCUGGCUGCAGUGCAGGAGGAGUCACCUCUCGUUAAAAGUACCCUCAGCAGGUUGUAAACAUAAUACCACACAUACACACACACACACACACACACACACACAUAGUAGGCCCGGUCUGGUCCGCAGCGCCUCGGUAGAAAGUGUGUGUGUGUGUGUGUUGUGAAUGUGAACAAAGCCGCAGACAUGGUGCUGCCUCUACACAGCAGAGAGCUGCGGGCUUAAGUUGUCUGUUAGUGUCUGUGUAAGUGUGUGUGUUUGGGGAGUUUUAGGAUCAAACCCGCAUGUCGACAGGGGCUGCGGCGAGGAGACGGCCACUGACAGGUGUUUCCUGCCGCUACACAGCAGGUGCUGAUCACGUCUCAAUGCUCUGGUUUUACAAGCUGCUCCUCAGUUCUGAGCCGUGUUCCUGCGUCGUGAGGAAUUUCCCAACGUGUUACGCAGCUUCACACUGUUCAUAUAAACAUUGAUCCUCUCCAUAUGUCCACACUGACUAACUGCAGCUGAAUUGAAUUGAGCCCAGAGGCCAGGUUUGACCCAGAGACAGUUUUUUAUAUAUUCGUCCAAUAGAUGAAUGUCUCAUUUACUCUAAUUAAAUUGUGUUUAAAUUAGUACAAUUACUGUGCAUAAUUUAUAGUUGUAUGUGUAACAGAAAUCAACCUUUAACCUUUAACCUAAUUGUUUUACAAAAUGAUUUGUUAUAUAUAUAUAUUUUCUUUUGUAUAUAUUUAUUUAAUUACAAGCAUAUAAUUACUACUUCCCAACAACAGCUUUAACCAUAUUUGUUCUUGUCCAACCAGAUUAAAUAUUAUAUCAGAAAAACUGUCCUGUUCCAUUCUUACAACUUUAUUAAAGUGAAAACGGUAAAAAACUAAAAACUAAAAAAGGAUUGUAAAGAUGUUCUGAGGCCCCAAGAAGCUGCUGGUUCUGGGUCCUUUUGACUUUGAAACGCACACACACACACACACACACACACACACACACACACACACA